GGGUUGUGAGGUUAAGCGACUAAGCGUACACGGUGGAUGCCCUGGCAGUCAGAGGCGAUGAAGGGCGUGCUAAUCUGCGAUAAGCGCCGGUAAGGUGAUAUGAACCGUUAUAACCGGCGAUACCCGAAUGGGGAAACCCAGUGUGACUCGUCACACUAUCAUUAACUGAAUCCAUAGGUUAAUGAGGCGAACCGGGGGAACUGAAACAUCUAAGUACCCCGAGGAAAAGAAAUCAACCGAGAUUCCCCCAGUAGCGGCGAGCGAACGGGGAGGAGCCCAGAGCCUGAAUCAGCAUGUGUGUUAGUGGAAGCGUCUGGAAAGGCGCGCGAUACAGGGUGACAGCCCCGUACACAAAAGCGCAUGUGCUGUGAGCUCGAUGAGUAGGGCGGGACACGUGGUAUCCUGUCUGAAUAUGGGGGGACCAUCCUCCAAGGCUAAAUACUCCUGACUGACCGAUAGUGAACCAGUACCGUGAGGGAAAGGCGAAAAGAACCCCGGCGAGGGGAGUGAAAAAGAACCUGAAACCGUGUACGUACAAGCAGUGGGAGCCCCACCACCAAAGCAUUCUCUGGUGUUGAAGGCCCUGCAAAGCAGCAUCGCGGUGGCGGAGCGUCGUUUGCGACGCCCAACACACAAAACAAGCGGUGAGUGCUUUGGGGUGGGGUGACUGCGUACCUUUUGUAUAAUGGGUCAGCGACUUAUAUUCUGUAGCAAGGUUAACCGAAUAGGGGANGUUUCGCUUUGUGUGGUGCACAAAGAAGCGUAACGACAGCACUGAAUGACGGUUAACGGAGCGCAAGCGACGUUCAACAUACAAAGUCAAGCAGUGGAGCGCUUUGGGGUGGGGUGACUGCGUACCUUUUGUAUAAUGGGUCAGCGACUUAUAUUCUGUAGCAAGGUUAACCGAAUAGGGGANACAGGUUUACCUGUGUGACUGCGUACCUUUUGUAUAAUGGGUCAGCGACUUAUAUUCUGUAGCAAGGUUAACCGAAUAGGGGAGCCGGAGGGAAACCGAGUCUUAACCGGGCGUUAAGUUGCAGGGUAUAGACCCGAAACCCGGUGAUCUAGCCAUGGGCAGGUUGAAGGUUGGGUAACACUAACUGGAGGACCGAACCGACUAAUGUUGAAAAAUUAGCGGAUGACCUGUGGCUGGGGGUGAAAGGCCAAUCAAACCGGGAGAUAGCUGGUUCUCCCCGAAAGCUAUUUAGGUAGCGCCUCGUGAAUUCAUCUCCGGGGGUAGAGCACUGUUUCGGCUAGGGGGCCAUCCCGGCUUACCAACCCGAUGCAAACUGCGAAUACCGGAGAAUGUUAUCACGGGAGACACACGGCGGGUGCUAACGUCCGUCGUGAAGAGGGAAACAACCCAGACCGCCAGCUAAGGUCCCAAAGUCAUGGUUAAGUGGGAAACGAUGUGGGAAGGCCCAGACAGCCAGGAUGUUGGCUUAGAAGCAGCCAUCAUUUAAAGAAAGCGUAAUAGCUCACUGGUCGAGUCGGCCUGCGCGGAAGAUGUAACGGGGCUAAACCAUGCACCGAAGCUGCGGCAGCGACGCUUAUGCGUUGUUGGGUAGGGGAGCGUUCUGUAAGCCUGUGAAGGUGGCCUGUGAGGGUUGCUGGAGGUAUCAGAAGUGCGAAUGCUGACAUNACGUAUCACCCAAGACAACUUUACGGAGUUGACGAUUGACGGAGCGAAGCGACGUCAAAGCGUUCAUUAAAGUCGAGUUGGCUUAGGGAUACGUUCGUUGGGUAGGGGAGCGUUCUGUAAGCCUGCGAAGGUGGCCUGUGAGGGUUGCUGGAGGUAUCAGAAGUGCGAAUGCUGACAUAAGUAACGAUAAAGCGGGUGAAAAGCCCGCUCGCCGGAAGACCAAGGGUUCCUGUCCAACGUUAAUCGGGGCAGGGUGAGUCGACCCCUAAGGCGAGGCCGAAAGGCGUAGUCGAUGGGAAACGGGUUAAUAUUCCCGUACUUGGUGUUACUGCGAAGGGGGGACGGAGAAGGCUAUGUUGGCCGGGCGACGGUUGUCCCGGUUUAAGCGUGUAGGUGUGUGUUCCAGGUAAAUCCGGUUCACUUUAACACUGAGGCGUGAUGACGAGGCACUACGGUGCUGAAGCAACAAAUGCCCUGCUUCCAGGAAAAGCCUCUAAGCAUCAGGUAACAUCAAAUCGUACCCCAAACCGACACAGGUGGUCAGGUAGAGAAUACCAAGGCGCUUGAGAGAACUCGGGUGAAGGAACUAGGCAAAAUGGUGCCGUAACUUCGGGAGAAGGCACGCUGACACGUAGGUGAAGUGAUUUACUCAUGGAGCUGAAGUCAGUCGAAGAUANUAUGUAGGUGAAGCGGUUUACCCGUGGAGCUGAAAUCAGUCGAAGAUACCAGCUGGCUGCAACUGUUUAUUAAAAACACAGCACUGUGCAAACACGAAAGUGGACGUAUACGGUGUGACGCCUGCCCGGUGCCGGAAGGUUAAUUGAUGGGGUCAGCGCAAGCGAAGCUCCUGAUCGAAGCCCCGGUAAACGGCGGCCGUAACUAUAACGGUCCUAAGGUAGCGAAAUUCCUUGUCGGGUAAGUUCCGACCUGCACGAAUGGCGUAAUGAUGGCCAGGCUGUCUCCACCCGAGACUCAGUGAAAUUGAACUCGCUGUGAAGAUGCAGUGUACCCGCGGCAAGACGGAAAGACCCCGUGAACCUUUACUAUAGCUUGACACUGAACAUUGAGCCUUGAUGUGUAGGAUAGGUGGGAGGCUUUGAAGUGUGGACGCCAGUCUGCAUGGAGCCGACCUUGAAAUACCACCCUUUAAUGUUUGAUGUUCUAACGUGGACCCGUGAUCCGGGUUGCGGACAGUGUCUGGUGGGUAGUUUGACUGGGGCGGUCUCCUCCUAAAGAGUAACGGAGGAGCACGAAGGUUGGCUAAUCCUGGUCGGACAUCAGGAGGUUAGUGCAAUGGCAUAAGCCAGCUUGACUGCGAGCGUGACGGCGCGAGCAGGUGCGAAAGCAGGUCAUAGUGAUCCGGUGGUUCUGAAUGGAAGGGCCAUCGCUCAACGGAUAAAAGGUACUCCGGGGAUAACAGGCUGAUACCGCCCAAGAGUUCAUAUCGACGGCGGUGUUUGGCACCUCGAUGUCGGCUCAUCACAUCCUGGGGCUGAAGUAGGUCCCAAGGGUAUGGCUGUUCGCCAUUUAAAGUGGUACGCGAGCUGGGUUUAGAACGUCGUGAGACAGUUCGGUCCCUAUCUGCCGUGGGCGCUGGAGAACUGAGGGGGGCUGCUCCUAGUACGAGAGGACCGGAGUGGACGCAUCACUGGUGUUCGGGUUGUCAUGCCAAUGGCACUGCCCGGUAGCUAAAUGCGGAAGAGAUAAGUGCUGAAAGCAUCUAAGCACGAAACUUGCCCCGAGAUGAGUUCUCCCUGAGACUUAGAGUCUCCUGAAGGAACGUUGAAGACGACGACGUUGAUAGGCCGGGUGUGUAAGCGCAGCGAUGCGUUGAGCUAACCGGUACUAAUGAACCGUGAGGCUUAACCUUACAACGCCGAAG
rnacentral:rRNA from 1 species